rfam:Candidatus Colwellbacteria bacterium RIFCSPLOWO2_12_FTLL_44_13 rifcsplowo2_12_scaffold_2643, whole genome shotgun sequence.
GGCCCUAUCGUCUAGUGGCUAGGACAUCAGGUUCUCAUCCUGGAAACAGGGGUUCGAUCCCCCUUAGGGCUA